GGAUUGCCCUAGUAACGGCGAGUGAAGCGGCAACAGCUCAAAUUUGAAAUCUGGCGUCUUUGGCGUCCGAGUUGUAAUUUGCAGAGGGCGCUUUGGCAUUGGCAGCGGUCCAAGUUCCUUGGAACAGGACGUCACAGAGGGUGAGAAUCCCGUACGUGGUCGCUAGCCUUUACCGUGUAAAGCCCCUUCGACGAGUCGAGUUGUUUGGGAAUGCAGCUCUAAAUGGGAGGUAAAUUUCUUCUAAAGCUAAAUACUGGCCAGAGACCGAUAGCGCACAAGUAGAGUGAUCGAAAGAUGAAAAGCACUUUGGAAAGAGAGUUAAAAAGCACGUGAAAUUGUUGAAAGGGAAGCGCUUGCAGCCAGACUUGCCUGUAGUUGCUCAUCCGGGUUUUUACCCGGUGCACUCUUCUACGGGCAGGCCAGCAUCAGUUUGGGCGGUUGGAUAAAGGUCUCUGUCACGUACCUCCUCUCGGGGAGAUCUUAUAGGGGAGACGACAUGCAACCAGCCUGGACUGAGGUCCGCGCAUCUGCUAGGAUGCUGGCGUAAUGGCUGUAAGCGGCCCGUCUUGAAACACGGACCAAGGAGUCUAACAUCUAUGCGAGUGUUUGGGUGUCAAGCCCGAGCGCGUAAUGAAAGUGAACGGAGGUGGGAACCUUUCGGGGUGCACCAUCGACCGAUCCUGAUGUCUUCGGAUGGAUUUGAGUAAGAGCAUAGCUGUUGGGACCCGAAAGAUGGUGAACUAUGCUUGAAUAGGGUGAAGCCAGAGGAAACUCUGGUGGAG
rnacentral:rRNA from 1 species